GCCGGGGUAUCCGAACGGUACAGGAGAUGGUCUCAAACACCAUUGGGUGAAAGCCCGUGCGGGUUCGAAUCCCGUCCCCGGCA
rnacentral:tRNA from 1 species